GAUGUCUUGAUGCACUCCCACAGACAGCAUCACUGCUCGGGCCUCCUUCUUUGACCUUAACUUGGGUUUCGGAGCAACUGUUGGAUCAGAAGCUAAAAUGUAAACAAAAAUGAAAGAUACGACCCCCCGCCCAUGUCUGAUGAACAUUCUUCCGGGAUAACUUGCUCGAUCAUCUUCACACUCGCUUCAGCAACUUCAAAUGGAAGAACAAGGUGCUGGAUUCUGCUGAGUCAGGUUGACACCUGGCAGCAUCACAAUGACUCUAUAUGUAACUACCACAGUCACAUGUCCCUUUACCAUUCAGUGGGAUCUUACCAGGAGGACACAUAGGACAGCAUCUGUCCUCUAUCUGAUAAUCUCUUGGACGACAUGUCAGGGUAUUUCCACUGAAGACUUUGAUCAUAAGUAUCUGUGAAGAAUAAGACAAAGUUUUAGUCUCAGUGAAGCCUGGUUGAAAUGUUGACAUGAUCAAGAAGUGUCCUGAAGGACUCAAACAAAGAAUGGCAAGAUGAAAGACAUGACUGACAGCCACCAUGAGGUGGAGGGAAGGUGAGUGGAGGAGGACGCUGAUGGAGGAGAGAGAGAAGAGAGGAUUUCUGAGGGGAGAGGAUGAUGGUCAGCUAGGACCAAAGAAGAGGAGAAAGAUCAGUAGAAGAAGAAGAAAGGUUGAUUCCAGAAGACAAAUGAAAAUACACAAUGGAAAAAAAAAAAGUUUUUAAUUUAAUAAUUUUAUAAAAAUCUUUUUUUCUUUGUUUUAAACUUUCACUCCGUAAAUGACAAACUGAACCGCUUGUAUGUGGACAGUAGUGUUUGCUGGAACUGUGCUACUCUGCAGGUCAGGUCAUUAAAGUUCACACUGAUUAACAGAGGAUGAGUGAAACACGCAGGAGCUGAGCAGGACUCUGAAAUGAUUGUAUAUGAGUGACAGAGAGAGAAAGAGUCAGAAAUCAGAAAUGUUGGAGAGGAGGAGCAAUGUGCUUUAUACAUUACUGCCUGACAAAUACAAGCUUCCUGUCAUUUUCUGUAAUAAACUACUUUACCAA